GUAGAUUGGGACUUCAUGGUAAGAGCCUCAUUGUCAUCCUUCCCUAGAAGACUUGCCAUACUUACAUACCUGGCACAAGCAUGUCUUCUUCCUCCCACUAAUUUGGACCUAGUAAAAGUAUUUGACAGUGAGAGAAAGAAAUUUCAGUCUACUCUGAAAAUAAUCCAAAUCUGGACUGGGUAUUCUCUGGAAACUUGUUCUCCAGCUUAUUUAUCCUAGAGCACUACUUCCUCUGCCUUGGGACUGUGGGUGACCUUAAUGAGGCUAGUAAAGUCUAAUUGACUUUCUUGGUCAAGACUUCACUCUAGUCUUUUCUCUUCUGUGUGCCAUACCCAGGAAAGAAGGCAGGAAUUUCAGGACCCUGCACCAACAGAGGGUGACUCUUGGGCCCACUGUGGCACAGAUUUAAUGAGCUGGUGUACAGAACUAUGGAAGGCAUUAGAGGCGAUCAUACGAGGUGUUCGUUAAUCAGUCCAUGCAGCCUUCUGCGGCAGCUUUACCAAAGUCCACGCAGGAAUGGCGCUGACUGCUUCGGUUUCUUACCUCUACAUUCUUUUUGACAACGUCAUCUCGCCCAGACCUCUCCAGGGGAGAUCCAGACUGCCACGGUGGGAAUCCAGGUUGGAGUUGGUGCCUCUACCUCAAGCAGAGGUCAUAGACACGACUGCUUUCAGCACAAGAACUACGGAGAGGAUUAUACAGCUCUUAAACACACACAGCUGAGGGGCAGAAUCUGAUUUACCCCUUAUGAAAGUAUAUACUGAGAAUAAGCCAUUAGCAGUAUAGUGCUGCUAGGGCAAAUAUAAAGCCAACAAUCCAGCACUUCUAUUUUCUUAUAAACCAAAUCACUUUUAUGCUGGCAAGACUCUUGAUGCAAAUAUGCUAUGGAUACAAAGGGAAAGAAUGUACGCAUGAAGAAGCACAAAUCCUGGUGCUAGUGGCUUCUGGCUGAUGAGGUUUUAUGUGAUAAUUUGUGUGGGCUAAAACAAAAGAAAUGUUUUCACCCUUUCUAGUUAGUAGAUGUUUGUACAGCAUUAUGAAGAUAAAUGAGAGACGUGCUAAGUGUUAAUAUUCUUCUAAGAUAUUUAUAAUUUUUGUAUGUAUUUAUGACAACAAAAAUAUUUCAAUAAAAAAGUGACUUGUCACA
rnacentral:lncRNA from 1 species